ACACACAAAAUAACUCUCAGUAUCACAGCAUUACCUUGAGAUGUAGAAUACAUAACGAGGAAAUCAUUGUGACAUGGUGUCAUCACAGUUGUCAUGGUAUCUUCGUCAUGUACAUCAUUUCUUGCAAUCCUGUCCACCUUUCUGAACACAAGCUUCUUGAUCCAUUUUAUGCCUCUUUGAGCGAUGCUUGGAUCCUCAGAAACGUCAUGCGUUACCUCGUGUAAAACUUCCAAACAGGGAAUUACUUCGAUGGAUGACUCGGAACCAUCAGAUUUACGACCACCAUCUUUUAUUUUGUCUCCGCACAAACCAUCACUAAUCGGGGAUUUCGUAUCAGCAAAGGAAGUGGUGGAAUUUAUUGAAAUGCUUUCUUUUUUGUCAUGCCCUACUUCUGGAAUCCUACGCUUAUUGGACGCACACAUAUAGGGAAAGCUCUUGACAGAUUAUCAGAGGAAGAAAAAAAGAAAAUGACUGUUCUUUUCAAUACUGCUUAUGCAGUUGCACGUAAUGAAAAUUCAUUCUCGGAUUACUUGUAUAUUUAUGAACUGAAUAAAUUGAGAUCAGGGUUGACCAUGACAGGAAA